rnacentral:rRNA from 1 species
CAGCCGUAAACUAUGCUCGCUAGGUGUCAGGCAUGGCGCGACCGUGUCUGGUGCCGCAGGGAAGCCGUGAAGCGAGCCACCUGGGAAGUACGGCCGCAAGGCUGAACUUAAAGGAAUUGGCGGGGGAGCACAACAACGGGUGGAGCCUGCGGUUUAAUUGGACUCAACGCCGGACAACUCACCGGGGACGGACAGCGAAUAUGUAGGCCAGGCUGAAGACCUUGCCUGAAUCGCUGAGAGGAGGUGCAUGGCGUAGACGU